AACGAACGCUGGCGGCAGGCUUAACACAUGCAAGUCGAGCGCCCCGCAAGGGGAGCGGCAGACGGGUGAGUAACGCGUGGGAACGUACCUUUUGGUUCGGAACAACUCCGGGAUACUGGAGCUAAUACCGGAUAAGCCCUAACGGGGAAAGAUUUAUCGCCGAAAGAUCGGCCCGCGUCUGAUUAGCUAGUUGGUGAGGUAACGGCUCACCAAGGCGACGAUCAGUAGCUGGUCUGAGAGGAUGAUCAGCCACACUGGGACUGAGACACGGCCCAGACUCCUACGGGAGGCAGCAGUGGGGAAUAUUGGACAAUGGGCGCAAGCCUGAUCCAGCCAUGCCGCGUGAGUGAUGAAGGCCUUAGGGUUGUAAAGCUCUUUUGUCCGGGAAGAUAAUGACUGUACCGGAAGAAUAAGCCCCGGCUAACUUCGUG
rnacentral:rRNA from 1 species